GAUGAACGCUGGCGGCGUGCCUAAUACAUGCAAGUCGAGCGAACAGACGCGGAGCUUGCUCCUCUGACGUUAGCGGCGGACGGGUGAGUAACACGUGUAUAACCUACCUAUCAGACUGGUAUAACUUCGGGAAACCGGCUCUUAUACCGUAUAAUAUAUUGCACCGCAUGGUUCAAUAGUGAAAGUCGGCUUUGCUGUCACUUCUCGAUGGAUCCCCGCCGCAUUAGCUAGUUGGUAAGGUAACGGGCUACCAAGGCAACGAUGCGUAGCCGACCUGAGAGGGUGGUAGGCCGCACGAGAGCGGGGACGCGGUCCAUGGUCCUGCGGGACGCAGCAGUAGGCUAUCGGCCGCAACAGGCGGGAGCCUGGCGGAGCGAGGCGGCGUGAGUGACGAAGGUCUUCCGAUCGUGAAAAUCGGUUAUGAGGGAUAAACAGAUGUGGAAGGAGCUGUGCACGUAGUGACGGUACCGAGUAAGAAAGCCACGGCUAACUACGUG
rnacentral:rRNA from 1 species